UUGUUGCUCAAAAUUUGUAUUUCCCCAAUUCAAUUCUGAGUAGUUUUGAGUUGCCAAUAUACAUAAACGAACUAAAUGUCGAUUAUUCAUGCUCUGUAUAAAAAGUUUGCUGUUGUUGGAAAGCUUUGGGCGGGGAUGUCAAAGCAAAACAAUUUUUUAGACACGCAAAGUGUGUCACGAUGAUUUCAAUUUUUCAUCUUUUUUACGUCGAAAUCAUCAUUAAUAGCUUACAAAAGGAAUAUUGUCCACACCGUUGUUUCCCAUAUAAUCGACCUUUACCGCACCCGGAAGAGGCCAUCGAGUGUGUUCAAAGCUUGAAAAAUGGACAGUUGCGCGAUGGCUCGGUGAAGUUGAUAGAGUGCAUCGGGAGGUCCGAGUUUUUAUUUAUAUUCCGGACCGCAGCCGUACGUUCAAUUUUCUUUCAAAAAUUUACCUCACAAUGAGCGCAGAAAGUCUCCGAAUAGGAAGAAGGGAACCAAAAGAGAUGUGCUUCUCAUCUAAUCGGAGCAGCCAUCACUAAAGCACUUGGGAACGGAUCCCGCAGAAAAUCCCUUACAGCGACGGAAACCAUCAUCAUGGGAGACAGUUUUCAGGAGGGACUAAAACAAAACAUAUCAACUGGCAUGAUGAAACAGGUGGCUACAUCGAACGGAUGCAAAUCCGUACCGGAAGCUGGAGACUGACGAGCUCCAGAACAGGACCGAGUCGUCUUAGAAAAAAGCCCUGAAAGAUGAUUAUCUUCGGCAACGAUCGGCCCCAAGGAACUGCAACUGACAACCAAAGAAAAGGAAGCCUUUUAAUAUCGCCCGUCACUAGCAGACACCGCCGCAAAGUUAUUGAUUUGUGAUUAAAUCGUUCCAACUAUUACCUUGAACGUUGAAUAAAAAUAAUGAAUAAAAAGUUAAAUGUUGAUAAGAUUUUUUUUUUUAAUAAAUUCCUUCCAACUCUACUUUUGCAGCGAAAUUUCCAAAAUGCAUGGGCAUCCCCACGUCAAAAUAUACAGAAUUG